rnacentral:lncRNA from 7 species
CACAUGGGACCCCUGAGACCCCAUAGAGACCACCCAUAAACACCCAAGGGAACCAUAGAGACCCCAUAGGGACAGAUAGGGACCCAUUGGGACCUCAUAGGGACCCAUAGAGACCCAUAGGGACACAUAGAGAUCCAUAGGGACCCAUAGAGACCCCAUAGGGACCCAUUGGAACCCAUUGAGACACAUAGGGACACAUAGGAACCCAUAGAGACCCCAUAGGGACACAUAGGGAUCAUUGGGACCUAUAGGGACACAUUGAGACCCAUAGGGACCCAUAGAGACCCCAUAGGGACACAUUGGAACCUAUUGGGACCCAUAGGGACACAUAGAGACCCAUAGAGACCCCAUAGGGACACAUAGGGAUCAUUGGGACCUAUAGGGACACAUUGAGACCCAUAGGGACCCAUAGAGACCCCAUAGGGACACAUUGGAACCCAUUGGGACCCAUAGGGACACAUAGGAACCCAUAGAGACCCCAUAGGGACACACAGGGACAUAUAGGGACACCUAGAAACCCCAUAAGGACCCCAUAGAGACCCCAUAAACACUCACAGGGGCACAUUGAGACCCCAUAGGGACCCAUAGAGACCCCAUAGGGACAUUUCGGGUCCAAUUUUUGGGGUGACUUUGGGGCCUUUCGGGUUCCAUUUGAGGUCCUUUUUGGGGCUCAUUUGGGGCAUUUCGGGUCCGAUUUUUGGGGUGAUUUUGGGGCAUUUCAGGUCUGAUUCUUGGGGUGAUUUUUGGGGUGAUUUUGGGGCAUUCGGGGUCCUAUUUUUGGGGGUGAGUUUGGGGCAUUUCGGGUCUCAUUUAGGGUCCAUUUGGGGGCUCAUUUGGGUCCUUUUGGGGCUCAUUUGGGGCAUUUCGGGUCCGAUUUUUGGGGUGAUUUUUGGGGUGACUUUGGGGCAUUUCGGGUCUCAUUUGGGGUCCCAUUUUUGGGGGCUCAUUUGGGGCAUUUCGGGUUCCAUUUGGGGUCCCAUUUGGGGGCUCAUUUGGGGCAUUUCGGGUCCCAUUUCGGGUCUCAUUUGGGGCAUUUCAGGUCCGAUUUUUGGGGUGAUUUUUGGGGGUGACUUUGGGGCAUUUCGGGUCUCAUUUGGGGUCCCAUUUUUGGGGUUACUUUGGGGCAUUUCGGGUUCCAUUUGGGGUCCUUUUGGGGGUUCAUUUGGGUCAUUUCGGGUCCCAUUUCGGGGCUCAUUUGGGGCAUUUUGGGUCCCAUUUUGGGGUGAUUUUUGGGGUGACUUUGGGGCAUUUCGGGUCUCAUUUGGGGUCCCAUUUUUGGGGCUCAUUUGGGGCAUUUCGGGUCCGAUUUUUGGGCUGAUUUUUGGGAUUUCGGGUCCGAUUUUUGGGGUGAUUUUUUGGGGUGGCUUUGGGGCAUUUCGGGUCUCAUUUGGGGUCCCAUUUUUGGGGUGACUUUGGAGCAUUUCGGGUCUCAGUUGGGGUCCCAUUUUGGGGCUCAUUUGGGGCAUUUCGGGUCUGAUUUUUGGGCUGAUUUUUGGGGUGAUUUUUGGGAUUUCGGGUCCGAUUUUUGGGGUGGCUUCGGGGCACUCGGGGUCCUCUUUUUGGGGGUGAUUUCGUACCGAUCAUGGCGUGGAAGGCGCUGUGGAGGUCGUCCAGCUCCCUCAGCACCCACACGUGUUCCUCGCCGUCCUUUUUGGACGCCAUCGCGUUCAGCACCGCCCGCUCCGAGUGCUGCCCCACCCCGAACACGUAAAUGUCUGCACAUUAAUGGGGGGGGGGGGGGGAGGUCAGAGACCCCCCCUCAAUUAGGGACCCCCCCCAUAGAAGAGGGACCCCCCCCAAAUUAAAGGGACCCCCCCAAAUUAGACGGACCCCCCCCAAAUUGAAGGGAUCCCCCCAAAUUGGAGGGACCCCACCCCGAACACGUAAAUGUCUGCACAUUAAUGGGGGGGGGGGGGGAGGUCAGAGACCCCCCCUCAAAUUAGGGACCCCCCCCCAUAGAAGAGGGACCCCCCCCAAUUGAAGGGACCCCCCAAAUUGGAGGACCCCCCAUAUAAGAGACCCCCCCAUAUAAGAGACCCCUCCAAAUUAGAGGGACCCUCCCAUAUAAGAGACCCCCCCCCAAAAUUAGAGGGACCCCCCCUUGUACGAGGCCCCCCCCAUAUAAGAGGCCCCCCCCAAAUUAAAGGGAUCCCCCCCAAAUUGGAGGGACCCCCCCACAAAUUGAAGGAACCGACCCCAAAUUGAAGGGAUCCCACCCCGAACACGUAAAUGUCUGCACAUUGAAUGGGGGGGGGGGAGGUCAGAGACCCCCCCUCAAAUUAGGGACCCCCCCAUAGAAGAGGGACCCCCCCCAAAUUGAAGAGACCCCCCAAAUUGAAGGGACCCCCCCAUAUAAGAGACCCCCCCCAUAUAAAGACCCCUCCAAAUUAGAGGGCCCUCCAUAUAAGAGACCCCCCCCAAUUAAAGGGACCCCCCCAAAUUAAAGGGACCCCACCCCGACACGUAAAUGUCUGCACAUUAAAGGGGGGGGGGGGAGGUCAGAGACCCCCCCUCAAAUUAGGGACCCCCCCCCCAUAGAAGAGGGAUCCCCCCCAAAUUGAAGGGACCCCCCCCGAAUUGAAGGGAACCCCCCCAAAUAGGAGGGAUCCCCCCAAUAUAAGAGACCCCUCCAAAUUAGAGGGACCCCCCAUAUAAGAGCCCCCCCAUAUAAGAGACCCUCCAAAUUAGAGGGACCCUCCUAUAAGAGACCCCCCCAAUUAAAGGGACCCCCCCAAAUUAAAGGACCCCACCCGAACACGUAAAUGUCUGCACAUUGAAUGGGGGGGGGGGGGAGGUCAGAGACCCCCCUCAAAUUAGGGACCCCCCCAUUAAAGAGGGACCCCCCCCCAAAUGAAGGGACCCCCCCAAAUUGGAGGAACCCCCCCACAAAUUGAAGGAUCCCCCCAAAUUGGAGGGACCCCACCCGAACACGUAAAUGUCUGCACAUUAAAGGGGGGGGGGGGGGAGGUCAGAGACCCCCCCUCAAAUUAGGACCCCCCCCAUAGAAGAGGGACCCCCCCCCAAAUUGAAGAGACCCCCCAAAUUGAAGGGACCCCCCAUAUAAGAGACCCCCCCCAUAUAAGAGACCCCUCCAAAUUAGAGGGACCCCCACUUAUAAGAGACCCCCCCAAAUUAGAGGGACCCCCCCUUGUACGAGACCCCCCCAUAUAAGAGGCCCCCCCAAAUUAUAGAGACCCCCCCUCAAAUUGAAGGGAUCCCCCCAAAUUGGAGGAACCCCACCCCGAACACGUAAAUGUCUGCACAUUAAAGGGGGGGGGGGGGAGGUCAGAGACCCCCCCUCAAAUUAGGGCCCCCCCCCCAUAGAAGAGGGACCCCCCCCAAAUUGAAGGGACACCCCCAAAUUAGACGGACCCCCCCCAAAUUGAAGGGACCGACGCCAAAUUGAAGGGACCCCACCCCGAACACGUAAAUGUCUGCAAAUUAAAGGGGGGGGGGGGGAGGUCAGAGACCCCCCUCAAAUUGGGACCCCCCCCAUAGAAGAGGGACCCCCCCCAAAUUAAAGGGACCCCCCCCGAAUUGAAGGGAACCCCCCAAAUUAAAGGGACCCCCAAAUAAAGGGACCCCCCAUAUAAGAGACCCCCCCAUAUAAGAGACCCCUCCAAAUUAGAGGGACCCUCCCAUAUAAGAGACCCCCCCCCCAAAUUAGAGGGACCCCCCCCUUGUACGAGACCCCCCCCAUAUAAGAGGCCCCCCCAAAUUAUAGAGACCCCCCCAAUUAAAGGGACCCCCCCCAAAUUAUAGAGACCCCCCCCCAAAUUGAAGGGACCGACCCCAAAUUGAAGGGACCCACCCGAACACGUAAAUGUCUGCACAUUAAAGGGGGGGGGGGGGAAGUCAGAGACCCCCCCAAAUUAAAGGGACCGACCCCAAAUUGAAGGGACCCCACCCCGAACACGUAAAUGUCUGCACAUUCAAUGGGGGGGGGGGGAGGUCAGAGACCCCCCUCAAAUUAGGGACCCCCCCAUAGAAGAGGGACCCCCCCAAAUUGAAGAGACCCCCAAAUUGGAGGGACCCCCCAUAUAAGAGACCCCCCCAUAUAAGAGACCCCCCCCAAAUUAGAGGGACCCCCAUUCAGACCACCCCAGGACCCCCCAACCCCCCCCAGGACCCCCCCAAACCCCCCCAAACCCCAUUCAGCCCCCCCCAGCCCCCCAAAGACUCCCAGGACCCCCCAGAUCACAUUCAGACCACCCCAGGACC